GGAGAGGUGCCCGAGCGGCCAAAGGGAGCAGACUGUAAAUCUGCCGGCAGACGCCUACACUGGUUCAAAUCCAGUCCUCUCCACCA
rnacentral:tRNA from 3 species